CCUCAAAAAAUAGUCUCUCUCAAAAACUCCAUUGGAGGUCAAUCUCAUGAUAAGGCUAGGACAUACCUUUUCAACUGAUUUUUUCUUCAAUUUUCGAGGCUCUUCAAUCUAUAAGGUGGUGAUGACUAAUGGACAUUUCCCAGAAUUAAGAGCUUGGAUCAUUAUUCCCAUGAUCGGGUGCAUCCUUAAUGAUUCAAGGACCUUUAUGUUCAUCAGGUUGUUCCAUGCAUCAUCAAGAAAUUUUAAGUCUUUCUCUUGCCAUAAUUGUAGUGUCCAUUUCCUUUGUUUGUCUUUGCUACAUAUUUUCCCUCUGCGAUUGAAGAUUUUGUUUCUAUUUUCUAUGAAUUCUUUUCUCAAACGCCGGACACAAGUGUAGAAACAAAAUAUUAGUAAAAAUAAAGCUCACAAUUUUAAAGUAUGUCCUUCGUUAAAUAAGAUUUGAUGCAACAAAAGCU